AUUGAACGCUGGCGGAAUGCUUUACACAUGCAAGUCGAACGGCAGCACGGGGGCAACCCUGGUGGCGAGUGGCGAACGGGUGAGUAAUACAUCGGAACGUGCCCAGUCGUGGGGGAUAACGUAGCGAAAGCUACGCUAAUACCGCAUACGAUCUGUGGAUGAAAGCGGGGGACCUGUAAGGGCCUCGCGCGAUUGGAGCGGCCGAUGGCAGAUUAGGUAGUUGGUGGGGAAAGGCUCACCAAGCCGACGAUCUGUAGCUGGUCUGAGAGGACGACCAGCCACACUGGGACUGAGACACGGCCCAGACUCCUACGGGAGGCAGCAGUGGGAAUUUGGACAAUGGCGCAAGCCUGAUCCAGCCAUUCCGCGUGCAGGAUGAAGGCCCUCGGGUUGUAAACUG
rnacentral:rRNA from 1 species